UGCAGAUUUAGUUGUAGCAAAGUCGGAAGAGGAUAAGAACAUUUAAAUAUGUGGCAAAAAGAUGAUUAUAGUUUGGGAAUUCAAAAAUAUGAGAAUAGUUUAUAAUAUCUUGCAGAAUUCUAAAUUCGAGGAGCAGAGGAUUAACCGAGAGCGUGAUGUCAUCCUCAAGGAAAUGCAAGAGUUGCAUCUUCUUAAAUAUUCGAACUUUAUCUGAUUAAUUGUGAGACAAGAGUUUGAAGAACGAUGUGCACAGUUCCACGGCUUAUGGUGAUUUAGAGAAGCUUCAUAGAUUGGUUGAGUGUGAGGGUUGCUCGGUUUCUGACCCUGAUGGUCUGGGCUACUAUGCUCUUCAGUGGUCUGCAUUGAACAACCGCACCGCCAUUGCUCAGUACAUUAUCGAGUCGAGAGACAAAACAGAAGCUACAAUCAUAAUUAAGUAAAAUUAGCAAGGAACUCAACUUCAAGAAUCUACUCUUCAAUUGGCUCCAUACACUCUGAACUGAAGAAAACAAAAUGAUUGAUGAGGUCAGGGAGAUAAAUGAUCAGACUUUUAAAUCUCACAAGACGGAUGAAAGAAGAAGUCUCCAUUGAAGAUGUACCGGAUGUAAAAGAGGAGAGCGCUGUGCUUGAGUUUCGCCUUAACCUUCUACAAAUGAUUCAUUUAUUUAAGUACAAGGGUUGAACUCUUGUGACAGGUUGAACUCUUGUGUUCCUUAGAAAAUGAUUACAUAUGAACCAAAGUUUAAGAUGAUGAUAGAUGAUUGCAAUUGCAGGCAACUAUUAAAUUUAUAAAAGAUUAAUAUUUCUGUA